rfam:Oryza sativa (indica cultivar-group) chromosome 2, whole genome shotgun sequence.
AAAAAGGCAAACUGUGAGUUUCUGUGCCAACGUUUGACUGUCCGUUUUAUAUGAAAAUUUUUUAUAAUUAGUAUUUUCAUUGUUGUUAGAUGAUAAAACAUGAUUAAUACUUUAUACGUGACUUAUCUUUUUAAUUCUUUUCAUAAUUUUUUCAAAUAAGACGAACGGUCAAACGUUGGUUUG